ensembl:lncRNA
AGAAACUGCUGAGCAGAAUGAGCAACAGAAGAGCAGAGGACUGGUGUGUGCUACUUCACCAUGUAUCCUGCCCACAAUAGUUCCUUCGAGAUGUUACUGAAUUACAAGGUCUGAGAAAUCCCAACCACUAGCCAACAGAUCCCUAAGAAGAGCAUCAAGACACAAAGGGAUGUGUUCUUCACUGAUGUAGCUUCCUGGUGAGAAAAACUUCACAUGGAUUAUCAAAAAGGUUGCUUGUUUGUUUUUUAUCAGGUUUUAGAAAGACAGAACUGCUUUUGCCUGACUGCUGCUCUUCACAAAGCUUCAACUGUGCUGUUCUGAUGUGUUCCUUUUCACAGUGCUCUGUGUUGUGUAUUGGUAUCAUAUAUGCCUACAUAGUUGCCGUUAAUUUUAUGACUAAUAGAGUAUAUACUGUAAGAGUAACACCAAUCUGUUGCUUCUAUGAAUUGUGGUGGGUAAGAAGUUGUAUAGACCUUCCACAGACCAGAUCUUCACAUCCCUGUUUCUCCUGGCUGCUUUUUGAGUACUUCAUAGGUGUCACUGACUGUGAGCAAAGAGUCAUGCAAAAUAAAGUAAGGCUGUCACUGAUUCUUCACUAUUCCUCUCAAAGUUUAAGAGAGCAGUUCUGACUUUAGCAAACACAUUUCUUCAGUUAAUAAGUGUAUGUUAUUUGAUAUUAAUGUAGCUUGGAGCAAACAAUCUCAUGCUUGAAUUCUUAGGUGGCUUCUGUCUCCAUGAGGGAAUCCCAUGUUUGUGACUAGGCAGGAAUUAAUGGGGAGGGGAGAAGGCUGCACCCCAUUUUGAGGUGCUAGAGGUGAUCAAAAGACUGAUAAGGGAAAUCUCUAGCUGAAAAAAUUGUGUGAAUGUGACACUCUGGACCCAGUAGUAUCACACUUGGAGCAAGUCUGUAACUGCCACAAUCACAGCUCUACAGAAGGUAGAGUGACAGAAGCAAGUGCCAUUUCAAAUAGACUUCUUGUCUACAAGACGAGACAGCUGUACUGUGUGGCACUUUAACGUGCUCUUUGUUUCUGACUUGGAUGAAGAAAAUGAGAACAAGCAGAGUGAUUUUAAGAGCUUUGCACUCGUCGUUCUUCCUAUCUUGUCACAUCCCAAUCCUUCUUAGAGUGACCUUUUUCCAUUAUGUUAACAAAUGGAUAAAUGAAGCUAGAUGCUUCUGGAAUCUUGGCUUACCUGUCUCAGGUUUUCUACAGCCCACUUUCCCUGGGAACUUCUAUAGGAAUGCAGUUUGCCAGUAAGUUUAUUUUUGUUUUCAGUUAGGAAUAACAUUUCCUUAUGGUACAGAAUGUGUCAAUUAAAUAUCAGGGUGGUUCUCAAAGUCAGUAAAACUGAGCACUUCCGGGGGAAGAGAGCAAAAUGUGCUGG